GUGGGGAAUAUUGCGCAAUGGGGGCAACCCUGACGCAGCAAUACCGCGUGAGUGAAGAAGGUUUUCGGAUCGUAAAGCUCUGUUAUUGGGGAAGAAGAAGUGACGGUACCCAAUGAGGAAGUCCCGGCUAACUACGUGCCAGCAGCCGCGGUAAUACGUAGGGGACAAGCGUUGUCCGGAAUCACUGGGCGUAAAGGGCGCGUAGGCGGUUUUUUAAGUCAGAUGUGAAAGGUACCGGCUCAACCGGUGACGUGCAUUUGAAACUGGAAGACUUGAGUACUGGAGAGGCAAGUGGAAUUCCUAGUGUAGCGGUGAAAUGCGUAGAUAUUAGGAGGAACACCGGUGGCGAAGGCGGCUUGCUGGACAGAUACUGACGCUGAGGUGCGAAAGCGUGGGGAGCAAACAGGAUUAGAUACCCCAGUAGUCC
rnacentral:rRNA from 1 species